GUCUACGGCCAUGCCACCCUGAACAAGCCCAAUCCCAUCUAAUCUCGGAAGCUAAGCAGCGUCAGGCCUGGUUAGUACUUGGAAGGGAGACCACCUAGGAAGACCAGGUGCUGUAGGCG
rnacentral:rRNA from 1 species